CAACUACUCCCUCCGUUCGGAAUUACUCAUCCAAAAAAAUGAAUGGAUCUAGAUGUAUUUUAGUUGUAGAUAUAUCCAUUUUUGUGACAAGUAAUUCCGAACGGAGGGAGUAUUUC
rfam:Triticum aestivum genome assembly, contig: Triticum_aestivum_CS42_TGACv1_scaffold_361489_4DS